CGUGGUUUUGCUAAUAAUAAUCAAUACACCAAAAAAACAUGGUUACUAAACUUUUACCACAAAAAAAAAACAUUCAUUUUCGUAAGGGGAAUAUGAGUGUUUGUUUUUUUGUAGUUUUUCAGUCAAUUGCAUACCGCUUUUAGCUGUACAAAACUUAAACAGUUUUCGUAAAUGCAUUUCAGAGAGAAGUGAAUUCUGAGAUUUGAAUAAUGCAUCUGACGUGUGUGUGAUGACGUCACGACGCACGUAUUUUGAUUUUUACCAGUCGUUCAAGGCGGACGGAUUCAGUCCCAAGAAGCUAAAGUUUUUCAAAGACAUUUGUAGGGAGGACUUUGCAGCUAAUGGAGCUGAAGUAUUUUAUGUAAGGAGGAUUUUGCAGCCCAUAUAGAUUUCCUUAGGCUGAACCAAAACCUGCCAGACUAAAGUUGAUUUGGGAGAGAAAGACGUUGUAAACUCAAUCAUCUUGACAUUCUUCAAUGAGUAAUUGUUCAAUUUUUAGGCAAAUACUGUACACUUUGAAAACUGUGAAUAAAACUAUAUUUUAAAUAUA